rnacentral:rRNA from 1 species
AUUGAACGCUGGCGGAAUGCUUUACACAUGCAAGUCGAACGGCAGCACGGACUUCGGUCUGGUGGCGAGUGGCGAACGGGUGAGGAAUACAUCGGAACGUGCCCAAUCGUGGGGGAUAACGUAGCGAAAGCUACGCUAAUACCGCAUACGAUCUAAGGAAGAAAGCGGGGGAUCGCAACACCUCGCGCGAUUGGGCAGGCCGAUGGCCGAUGAUGUAGUUGGUAGGGGAAAGGCCUACCAAGCCGACGAGCUGUAGCUGGUCUGGGAGGAUGAGCAGCCACACUGGGACUGAGACACGGCCCAGACUCCUACGGGAGGCAGCAGUGGGGAAUUUUGGACAAUGGACGCAAGGCUGAUCCAGCCAUUCCGCGUGCAGGAUGAAGGCCCUCGGGUUGUAAACUGCUUUUGUACAGAACGAAAAGGCUCUGGUUAAUACCUAGGGCUCAUGACGGUACUGUAAGAAUAAGCACCGGCUAACUACGUGCCAGCCGCCGCCGUAA